rnacentral:rRNA from 1 species
AAUGGGGGCAACCCUGAUCCAGCCAUGCCGCGUGAGUGAAGAAGGCCUUCGGGUUGUAAAGCUCUUUCGGCCGGGAAGAAAUCGCAUGGGUGAAUACCCUGUGUGGAUGACGGUAUCGGAACAAGAAGCACCGGCUAACUACGUGCCAGCAGCCGCGGUAAUACGUAGGGUGCGAGCGUUAAUCGGAAUUACUGGGCGUAAAGCGUGCGCAGGCGGUUUGGUAAGACAGGCGUGAAAUCCCCGGGCUUAACCUGGGAACUGCGCUUCAGACUGCACGGCUCGAGUCCGGGAGAGGGUGGUGGAAUUCCCAGUGUAGAGGUGAAAUUCGUAGAUAUUGGGAGGAACACCAGUGGCGAAGGCGGCCACCUGGCCCGGUACUGACGCUCAAGUGCGAAAGCGUGGGGAGCAAA